AUCUGCUCACCCCAAUAUGGCUUUGGAUUGUCCAGAGGAUCUGAUGGUCAGGUUCUCUUACCUUGCAAGCAGGAUUUGCAACCUAAGGAAUUUGGUGAAUGGGAGCUGGGAAACUAUGAGUUUCUGUCUCCAUAUAAUGGCUGAUCAUCACUGAAUCUGAAAAGCUUGUGGUGAAAGCAACUGAAGGUCUCACUCCCCACAGCAGGACUUGAUAGACACUGAAGAGACACAGCUAUUCUUUUAAAUCCAAUGAGGAGACAAAGCAAAGCUCUGUAGGAGUUAGGGCUAAUCAAGCAGAGAGCCAGUACACCAGAGAAGGCACACACCACUCCUUCUCCAGAAAAGAGAGUUGGUAGUCAUUCACAUCCCUCUCUUCGGCAGGAAAAGGCCCCUUCCAGAUCCUCAGAUUAUGAACCAGCAAAUAUUGUCUUCAGCUGCUCCCAUAAAAGGAAAUACUUAGCCCAAUAUCCUGAUGAUCUUAGCCUACUUGCUGUGCUUACUAAGCACAGCUUUUAUGAUAUGUUCGCACAAGUCUUCCCUCCACUUUAUUUUGCCUGACAGGUAAGUGUUAUUUCUAGAAUGGAGUAAUGUUUAAUAUUAUCCAUGCCUUGUAUGUAAUAGCACUUUUGAUUGAUUUUUCCCCUACAUUACUCUCCACACUUAUAUAGUUUCUCUACUGUGCUACGCAUCAAAGCUUUCUCUCCUUUUGAAAAGAAUCCUUAUGGUAAGUAAUGUUUAAAAUAGUUACUUUCCUCACAUGAAAAAAGCAUAGGCAGGGGGUACUUUGAGCUGCACUCUUUAAAGAUCGUGGCAGCCUGAGGUUGGUUUGACUGAAACUGCUCCAAUUUUUAAAGGGUACAUCUGAAAAUAGUCACAUAUAGUUCAGCAGUACAUUGGCAGGAAGGCUGUUAAGUAUGAAACAUAGUUUUCCAAGUCAAUUCUUCCCUUUAUAGUCUUUCUCCAUUCACACCUCACCCUCACUCCCCACGAAUUGCUGGAGCAUCUAUCCUUAAUCUUCUACUCCCUCUAUCUAUAAGGACCUGUCUUAACACAGAGUCAGAUCAAUGGCCUAUUUAGCAGGUACUAUCAACCCUGACUUCAGUUAUUGGCAGCUCAAUCCUGUCCACUGCAGCGUAUAAUGAUACCUGUAUGAGACACAAGGGCACAUCUGGACAGUGAAGUGGGAUGAACACCUGGCAACAAAGUAAGAAGAAAAGAACUCUCUCUUGUUCUGAGUGACCUGAGAAUAUUCUUGAUCUGGCUGCAUAAGAGAGAAUGCAUGUAAGGGAAGAAAUCCACUAAUCUGCUUCACUGAAAGCUGAUACAGAAACCAUGUUCAAAAGGAAAAUCCAAAUCACAAAGCUUUGAAAUUUACAAAAGGAUUUAGUAUAGCAUAGGUUUGCAUAUGACUUAUGGCCUCAGUCAGAAAUGCCCAACAAGCUGUGCAUCAGCCUUAGGCUCUACUUAACAAAUACUAAUGGGCUAAGGGGAUGGAGUCUGGACAAUGAAUAGCAUUUGUUUGCUCAGUAUGCAAAGGGAUCUUGUAGCACCUUAGAGAUUAACAGAGAAAAUAAAAUUGGUAGCAUAAAUUUCCACAGACAUCUACACUGUAGAAGUAAAGCAAUCUGACAUGUUAAUUGGCAUGGCUCAAUGCUGUGGAAUCAUGAGAGUUGCAAUUUUACAAGGUCUUUAACCUUCUCUGCCAAAAAAAAAGGGGGGAGCUGGUGCCUCAUCAAACUACAACUCCCUUUUAGCUCGGAUAGAGUUGGGUGGUAUGACUAAACUACUCUUUCCCCAUG
ensembl:lncRNA